rnacentral:rRNA from 1 species
GAGUUUGAUUAUGGCUCAGGAUGAACGCUAGACGACAGGCUUAACACAUGCAAGUCGAGGGGCAGCAUAAAAGUAGCAAUACUUGGUGGCGACCGGCGCACGGGUGAGUAACGCGUAUGCAACCUACCUAUCAGAGGGGAAUAACCCGGCGAAGGUCGGACUAAUACCGCAUAAAGCAGGGGCACCGCAUGGUGAUAUUUGUUAAAGAAAUUCGCUGGAUAGAUGGGCAUGCGUUCCAUUAGGUAGUUGGUGAGGUAACGGCUCACCAAGCCGACGAUGAAUAGGGGAACCUGAGAGGUUGGUCCCCCACACUGGUACUGAGACACGGUCCAAACUCCUACGGGAGGCAGCAGUGAGGAAUAUUGGUCAAUGGGCGAAAGCCUGAACCAGCCAUGUCGCGUGAAGGAAUGAAGGUCCUAUGGAUUGUAAACUUCUUUUGCAGGAGGGUAAAGUGAGCUACGUGUAGUUCAUUGCAAGUACCCUGCGAAUAAGCAUCGGCUAACUCCGUGCCAGCCGCUGC